rfam:Eutrema salsugineum unplaced genomic scaffold scaffold_25, whole genome shotgun sequence.
AAUCCAUGGUGAGGGCAAUCACGUUCAUACUCCUUAAAACGUUCCCAGGCUUCAUAGAAAGAUUCAUAGAAAGAUCUUUGUUCUCAACAAGUUCGACCUUGACUUAGUAU